UACGGAGGAUCCAAGCGUUAUCCGGAUUUAUUGGGUUUAAAGGGUGCGUAGGCGGCCUGUUAAGUCAGGGGUGAAAGACGGUAGCUCAACUAUCGCAGUGCCCUUGAUACUGAUGGGCUUGAAUGAACUAGAGGUAGGCGGAAUGUGACAAGUAGCGGUGAAAUGCAUAGAUAUGUCGCAGAACACCGAUUGCGAAGGCAGCUUACUAUGGUUUUAUUGACGCUGAGGCACGAAAGCGUGGGGAUCAAACAGG
rnacentral:rRNA from 1 species